CACUGUUGGGCUGGGUGGGAAGCUACGGUGACUGUCUUACCUGCUUUGUGGACAGGGUUCAAACUUGGGACCUUGAGCUUGCGAGGCAGGUGGCGACACCACUGAGCUAAAUCCCUGGUCCUCCCAUAUAUCAGCCAGAAGUUGAGAACAAUGCUGACAAUAUAAUACUGUGGAUGAAUAAUCACUUGUUGGCUGAACAGAAAAGGACUUUUAAAAAAAUAUAAUAGCAACAGAAGAAAACUCAAAGGAAAUUAUUGAAAGAUUUGAGUAUAUAAAAAUAAAAAAAUGCCUCAACAUGACCUUCCUCUUCCACAAACAUCUAAGCUCCUAAAUAAACUUAAAUGACAAAUCAAUAGGGG
ensembl:lncRNA